CCUACGGGACGCAGCAGUGAGGAAUAUUGGUCAAUGGCCGAAGGGCUGAACCAGCCAAGCCGCGUGAAGGAAUAAGGCCCUACGGGUCGUAAACUUCUUUCGUCAGGGAACAAAGGGAGCCACGCGUGGCGCUGUGAGUGUACCUGAAGAAUAAGCAUCGGCUAGCUCCGUGCCAGCAGCCGCGGUAAUACGUAGGAUGCGAUCGUUAUCCGGAUUUAUUGGGUUUAAAGGGUGCGUCUGCUGUUUGUCACGUCCUCGGU
rnacentral:rRNA from 1 species